rnacentral:tRNA from 1 species
GAAAUUCGUGCUCAAAAGUGGUAGGACAGCAGACUCUGGAUCUGUAUGCCGAGGUUCGAAUCCUCGUUCCCCA